rnacentral:lncRNA from 1 species
CUUUAAGACUAGUUUCAAGGUUUCUCGAAAGUUUAUUUGUCAGGCUUUUUGUUGUUGCUGUUUUUGCUCUGGUUUUCUUUUUGUUUGUUUUUUUGUUGUUGUUGUUGUUGUUGUUGUUUUGUCUUGUUUUUGUUUUUGUUUUGCCAAAAGUUGAAAGUUUCUUGGGAGAGGAGGUAUUUUAAAGACAUUCUCAUCCUUCCGGAAGGGAAAGUGCUCCAAAUCUGGAUCAAAGAAAGUUUGAAGGUCAUGUUUACCUCUUGUAUCACAAUCAUUCAUGUCUACUCCAAAACUACAGACUUUGUUUACUUCAAAACCCAAAGUCAACGGCCUCAUUUUUAUUUAUGCACUAGAACUCACCCUCCCGUUUGUAAUUGAAAAGUCUUACCUUGUUCCAUAAAUAUUUAAGCAUUUUGUUAAUAAUGUUUUGGUCUUAUAAAGCCGAUUUAAAAAUUAAGCCGAUCUUAACACACUCGCCCAUCUAUAGUUGUAAGGAAGUGUGAGAAGGAAUUUCCUUCUUGUUGUUUUUGUUUUGUUUGUUUGUUUGUUUGUUUGAGACAGGGUUUCUCUGUGUAGCCCUGGCUGCCCUGGAGCUCACUCUGUAGACCAGGCUAGCCUUGAACUCAGAGAAUCCACUGCCUCUGCCUCCUGAAUGCUGGGAUUAAAGGCACAUGCCACCUCCGCCAGGCAAGAAGGAAUUUCUUAAUAAAUGAGUUUACAUGUCUAAAUCGAGUAUAAGUUAUAUACAUUGUGUUGGAACCUUUUCUAUGUUUCUGUAUAAAGAUUUCUGACAAUUUUGUUUUUAAUGCCAUUGUGUUGCGAUAAUUUAGCUCCUUUGACUCAUUUGACAAAAUGCAUCUUUUAUGAAGAAGUACUCUUGACUUUGUUAUCUGUAUACUGAAAAUCAUGUCAGAGGUACCCAAAGACAAGUUUUUAUACAGAUAGACACCUAGUAAGCCCUGGUUUAUUACCCACUAACUUACUGUACUAUGUUCUCAGUGAAUCAUGAAGGACAAGAGUGGGCCACUGUAGAAUUGUCUUAAACUUUUCUUUAAAGGAGAAGAAACUAUAAGCUAAUCUAGUUGCCAAGUGGGAAUUCCUUAUUUAAUUUACCUCCUAUGCAAUGAUUAAUGCUGCGUGCGAGAUGUAUGGUUAAUAAGUUUCAGUAUAUUCACGAAAGAAAUGCCUUUCCAAGGUGUGAGAAGCAGCCAGUUGCAUUCUUUUGGGAAUUUACUGUACUGUUUCAAUGUGUUAAGUGCCUUGUUGUAAAGUAAAAUUAUAAGUCUAGAAUUCAUUAUUUUCCUGACCUAUUUUUCAUUAUGAUUAUCUACUGUGUGCUGUUGUAAUCAUUUUAUUAAAUGCUUACAUUUUAAUCA